rnacentral:sRNA from 1 species
CAUUAGCCCCGAUUGAAGCGGCAUCCUUUUGUGGAGCACAGCGGAACAAAAGAUAGAGCGAAAAGCGGGAAACAGC